CGCCCCGCCCCGCGCCGCCGCCCCCAACCCCUAGGCUGAGCCGGAGGGAGGGACCCAGAAGGGAGGGAGGCGGAAGGGAGGCCAAAAAGGAGGGGGCCACGUGAAAGAGGCCGGCCGACCGAGACCGAGGGAGACUGAGCGGAGCGCACGCCCUGGAAGGAGAGAGCCGGAGAGUUCGGGAGGCAAGACCCCCAGAGACGAGAGUCGGAGGGAUCAAACGACACAGAUGGGAAACUGAGGCCCAGCAAGAGGCAGCCCUGGUGCAGGGACUCCAGUGAGUAGGGCUGGUUUACUAUUGCUUCUUGUACAGAGCCAUAUCAAGCUCCUUUUUCCGGCUUCCUCCCUCACCUCCCCCAUCUUAGCAGGGCCCCUGCCCCUUCCUCACCCCCUGGCUUCUGCAUCUCCCUAAGGGCAUAGCCUAGUGGUGGUUUCUCCCCUGAGUAGGCCCAGCUAGCCUCUGUCCCAUCCCCUGUUAUUUGGGCCCUAACAGAAGCUACCCAAAUUUGAACCAUCUCUGCCCCAUGCUCAAGACCUGAGGGUCUCACAUCCUCAAAAUGGGUCCCCAGAUUCCAGAUCCAAGGAUUUGGGGAUCACACUGUUCAUCAGCUGUCACUAAACUUAUUUUACUAUGAGCCAUCCCCCUGGGGUAGCUUCUUGGUCAGCUUGUGGGGAAGGGGGUCAUUUUCAGGAUGGAGGCCUCAUCUCUAGAUUUUGGGGAGUCAAAAGAGUAGUGCAGCCCAGCCCUCACCCCAUUCCACAGGUGUGCACCCCCAGCUCCUUGGACUCUGGCCAGGACCAUUUCCUGCAGCCCCAGGCCAGCCCUGCAGCAUGAGCAGAGGGUGGCUUUGGGAAUGAGGCCCUGAGGGCUGGAAGGAGAAUGCCCAGCGCCUAGGGAACUUUGGGAGACCGCAGCUGGCUCCAGGGGCUGAGAGAGCCAGGGUCCUGCCCCCGGUCGCCCAAAACACCUCCCUUGUAGGUCUGUCCCUGAUCCCCCGGCUCUUGAUAGACACAGCCUCCCCGUCGCCCGACCCCAGGGCAAACCAGCAGAUAAACCCCUUUUAGGCGAAAAUUACACAAAAACGGCGGCGGCGGCGGGGCCUCCUCUGCUCAGGCACUGCCGCGUUGGCGGCCGAAAAAAGAGGGUCCCAGAGAAGGGGAACCCCCUCCCUGUCGAGGACACCGAGGCCCAGAGAGGGGAAGCCUCCUCCCCAGUGGGGUGCAGUCUGGGAUUGCAGUCCCCACCCCAGGGGCGCAGCUGCCAGCCCAACGCCU
rnacentral:lncRNA from 1 species